GGAAGACAGAGGAAGGGAUCAGGCCCAGGUACGUACCCCCACCAAGACAGAGAGGAGGACACAGAAUGGGUUCAGGCCCAGGUACGUACCCCCACCAAGACAGAGAGGAGGACACAGAAUGGGUUCAGGCCCAGGAACGUACCCCCACCAAGACAGAGAGGAGGACACAGAAUGGGUUCAGGCCCAGGAACGUACCCCCACCAAGACAGAGAGGAGGACACAGAAUGGGUUCAGGCCCAGGAACGUACCCCCACCAAGACAGAGAGGAGGACAAAGAAUGGGUUCAGGCCCAGGUACGUACCCCCACCAAGACAGAGAGGAGGACACAGAAUGGGUUCAGGCCCAGGAACGUACCCCCACCAAGACAGAGAGGAGGACACAGAAUGGGUUCAGGCCCAGGUACGUACCCCCACCAAGACAGAGAGGAGGACACAGAAUGGGUUCAGGCCCAGGAACGUACCCCCACCAAGACAGAGAGGAGGACACAGAAUGGGUUCAGGCCCAGGAACGUACCCCCACCAAGACACAGAGGAGGACACAGAGAAUGGGAUUGUUGAAACAGAGUUAAAGGGAGAGAGGCAGCUUCAAGGAAACUGAAUGGACCAUAGAAUAAGAAAUCAGAACACUUGUGUAUAUGGAAAAGAGUCUCCAGCAAAAGCCUAAGGACCAGGAAGUAUCUUAUUUUUCCACUCAAGGUUGAAACCUAACCUGAGACAUGCACAUUAUACUUGAAUGCAUUGACAUCAAUGGGAAAUGUGUGACAUUUUGUAGUUACACCCAUGCGUGCUUAAAAGUUAGGGUUUCAUCCCUUAUGCUGAGGAAGGGUCAUUGAAAGGGGCCCUAAAUUAAAUGUACAGCAGAGGCCUAAAAAGGAGUCUCUUCUCAGCCUGGGACGGGGAGAGUUAGUGGGGGUAGGUAGAACAGGUCCCAUAGGAACUGUAAGCUGACCCCAAGAACAGUCACAGGGCCAUGGGGGAACAGUCACAGGGCCAUGGGGGAACAGUCACAGGGCCAUGGGGAAACAGUCACAGGGCCAUGGGGAAACAGUCACAGGGCCAUGGGGAAACAGUCACAGGGCCAUGGGGAAACAGUCACAGGGCCAUGGGGAAACAGUCACAGGGCCAUGGGGAAACAGUCACAGGGCCAUGGGGAAACAGUCACAGGGCCAUGGGGAAACAGUCACAGGGCCAUGGGGGAACAGUCACAGGGCCAUGGGGGAACAGUCACAGGGCCAUGGGGAACAGUCACAGGGCCAUGGGGGAACAGUCACAGGGCCAUGGGGGAACAGUCACAGGGCCAUGGGGGAACAGUCACUGGGCCAUGGGGGAACAGUCACAGGGCCAUGGGGGAACAGUCACAGGGCCAUGGGGAACAGUCACAGGGCCAUGGGGGAACAGUCACAGGGCCAUGGGGGAACAGUCACAGGGCCAUGGGGAACAGUCACAGGGCCAUGGGGAACAGUCACAGGGCCAUGGGGAACAGUCACAGGGCCAUGGGGAACAGUCACAAGACCACCAGGCUCUCCUUGGUUACCCAAACACUUUUACCAAUACAGCAAAGUUAUCCUUCUUUGAAAGAGCUACAGUGUAUUCAGAAAAUAUUUUCCACAUUUUGUUGUGUUACAGCCGGGAAUUUAAAAUGGAUUCAAUUGAGAAUGUUGUGUCCCUGGCCUACAAACAAUACCCCGUAAUGUCCAAGUGGAAGUCUUUACAAAUGAAAAGCUGAAAUGUCUUGAAUCAAUAAGUAUUCAACCCCUAAAGUCACAGAAAGCCUUAAGUUCAGGAGUACAAAUGUGCUUAACAAGUCACAUAAUUAGUUGCAUGGACUCACACUGUGUGCAUGAAUAGUGUUUAACAUGAUUUUUUAAUGACUACCUCAUCUCUGUACCACACACAUACAAUUAUCAGUAAGGUCGAGCAGUGAAUUUCAAACAGAUUAAACCACAAAGACCAGGGAGGUUUUCCAAUGUCUAGCAAAGAAGGGCACCUAUUGGUAAAUGAGUAAAAAAUAAAAUAAAAAGUAGACAUUGCAUAUUCAUUUGAGUAUGGUGAAGUUAUUCAUUACACUUUGGAUGGUGUAUCAAGACUAGAGAUGCAACGGUACACAGUAUGUUGUCGAACUGGUCGGUACGCCCCCUACGGUUCAAUACGCAUACGUGAACCACGGAAUUAUGAUAUGCCUGUCAUUUUCCUAUCAUUUCCUAAACUUGUUUAUUGCGCUGCAGACUACACGCACGUCGUAUAUUCAGAUCCACAGAACCAGACGCGCAGCUUGUGAACAGGCUUGGCAGGCAACUGCUUGGAGCCCCAGAUCGUUUCUCCUGAGUGCUGACAAACUUUACUCCACAGCAAUGUCUCAAAAUGUGGUAACCACAGUGACAGCAACCCUUUCCCCCUUAAACAACCAAUGGACGAUUUGCAAUGACAUCUCACGAGGAAACCUCCCUAAAGGGGCCCCAUGAAUAAACUAAAAACAAAUAUUUUCUCAGCGCCAACGCGACAAUGGCGAGCGCUAAUGAGACAGAGAGAAGCGCAUUUGAAGAGUCACCGGCGUCUUUCAAAUCCACUGUGUGGGAACAUUUUGGGUUCGGCGUUCAAAACGACGACGGGGGUACGAAGACCGUAAGCAAACAAAGUACCGUCUGCAAGCGUUGCUUUGCCACUGUCGGCUACUCGAGUGGAAACACUUUUAACAUGUCAUUUACGUGGCCAUCACCCAGACGUAUCCCUUGCAGAUGGAGCAAGGCGAGAUCACUCGUUAGCAAAAACACAACAAUCUCUCCCUGCUGCCGUCCAACAAUUUACGACAAAUUCAUAAAAACAUAAAGAAAUAAUCUAAAGCAGUGGCAGUAAACAUAGCAGAUUUGCAGCCCUGUUCGGUGGUUACUGACCCGGGAUUUCGUCACCUGAUUCAUUUAAAAAAAAAAAACAGGUUACAAUGUCCCCUCCCGCACACAUUUCAGCAGCAAAGUAAUUCCCAAACUAUAUGAAACAUCAUAGAGAGACAUUGAAAAGCAAUUGACACAGACACCCUUUCUAGCUCUCUCUCCACUGAUAGUUGGACCUCCAGAGCAACUCAAAGCUACAUCUGUGACGGUUCACUAUGUUCUGGAGCUACCUCUCUGUGACGGUUCACUAUGUUCUGGAGCUACCUCUCUGUGACGGUUCACUAUGUUCUGGAGCUACCUCUCUGACGGUUCACUAUGUUCUGGAGCUACCUCUCUGUGACGGUUCACUAUGUUCUGGAGCUACCUCUCUGUGACGGUUCACUAUGUUCUGGAGCUACCUCUCUGUGACGGUUCACUAUGUUCUGAAGCUACCUCUCUG